GUGGCUUCCGGAGCUAACGCGUUAAGUAGACCGCCUGGGGAGUACGGCCGCAAGGUUAAAACUCAAAUGAAUUGACGGGGGCCCGCACAAGCGGUGGAGCAUGUGGUUUAAUUCGAUGCAACGCGAAGAACCUUACCUGGUCUUGACAUCCACAGAACUUUCCAGAGAUGGAUUGGUGCCUUCGGGAACUGUGAGACAGGUGCUGCAUGGCUGUCGUCAGCUCGUGUUGUGAAAUGUUGGGUUAAGUCCCGCAACGAGCGCAACCCUUAUCCUUUGUUGCCAGCGAUUAGGUCGGGAACUCAAAGGAGACUGCCAGUGAUAAACUGGAGGAAGGUGGGGAUGACGUCAAGUCAUCAUGGCCCUUACGACCAGGGCUACACACGUGCUACAAUGGCGCAUACAAAGAGAAGCGACCUCGCGAGAGCAAGCGGACCUCAUAAAGUGCGUCGUAGUCCGGAUUGGAGUCUGCAACUCGACUCCAUGAAGUCGGAAUCGCUAGUAAUCGUGGAUCAGAAUGCCACGGUGAAUACGUUCCCGGGCCUUGUACACACCGCCCGUCACACCAUGGGAGUGGGUUGCAAAAGAAGUAGGUAGCUUAACCUUCGGGAGGGCGCUUACCACUUUGUGAUUCAUGACUGGGGUGAAGUCGUAACAAGGUAACCGUAGGGGAACCUGCGGUUGGAUCACCUCCUUACCUUAAAGAAGC
rnacentral:rRNA from 1 species